rnacentral:tRNA from 1 species
GGGGAGGUGCCCGAGUGGCCAAAGGGAGCAGACUGUAAAUCUGCCGGCGUAGGCCUACGAAGGUUCGAAUCCUUCCCUCCCCACCA